AAAAAGCAGCAAAAAUCAAAGCCUGCUCUCCUCCUGGGGCACCCUGAAAAAGAGGAGAUUCAAGCUGGGAGGAAGUGUACCCCUAGACAGGAGAGCCCACCACCAUCACGGCACUGAUGCUCUGAGCCAUUUUGAGCACCUGAAAGGGCUGUUUUAGUGAAUGGGAGGAACCAGGGUACAUCAUGGACCUUUUCCGGAGGACUUGUGGCUGAAGAGACAGAAGCCUGUAUACAGCAAUAUUAACCCAGAAAUUCAGAUCCGAGUGAGAAUGAAUCUUGAGAACCUUCCCGCACAGGAUUUUUGGCAAGACAAACAAGAGAAACAAAGCGUACAAGCCCCGUCUUGUCAAYAGGUCUGUGGAGCGGAGCCCGGCUCGUCUGCAGCGUCAGGGUAGGGAAAGGAAAGUUUCAGCUCUAACAAUCCAAUUUGCCAGAGCCCGGGCACUGCUGCGGGUGAGUCACGCCUUGUGCAUCUCAUAAAGAUCUGCUCUGUAAACACGGCGGAACGCAGGCAGCGAGGAGCAGCGGGGAACGGCAGGAUUGCGGUCAGAGGGAGAGGAAAAUCAGCGGCAGUCACGCACUCACCCCGUCCAAAUCUGGGAACAGGGCACCCGUCCCCCAAGAUAAACCACUGUCCAAGAAAAAUACUGCUCCUCACCUCAGACCAMUGCCAUAAUUCCCCCAAGCCCUCCAGGGCUUUGGAAUUCCCGUUCGCAUUUUGCUGUAUGGGCUGUAUUUAAUAUUUCCCAUCCCCAGAGGCGUCCUGGCUCCCCAGGGAUUUUCCCUGCGGAAUACGAAGCCAGUCUCUCGACUCCUGCUGUAAGCCCACAUGGUUGGGCAGUACAAGCAGAGGAUGUGGAGGAAAAGUCUGCGUCGGCAUCGCCGCACAGAUGCAGGCGAGGUGGCACACAACUCUUUGACUCUUUCUUCUUUACAAAUUAGCAGCCCGAUGACACACACUGGCAGCAGAUUUGAGAUUUAAAAGGAUCGGGUAUCUUCUGACAAUAGUACAGAAUGCUGGCAGAACUUUCUGGAAUCCUAUUUAAAAGGUUAACAGAUAUUGGUGUCCUGAUUUAUCCAUUUUUUCCGGUUUUUCCCCUACACGGGGGAAGGGGAUUAUCGCAUGUGCAAGUCUCUUAACCUGGCUCAUGCCAAGUGCUGUUUCCACGCUUUACCGCUGAAGAAAUAAUGUUUUUUGGACUUKAUCUGAAACUCACUGAGGGCAGUGGGAAGCCAAUAUUUGCAGAGGUUUGAAGUAGGUCCCUGGCAAGAACAAGUGACCACAUUUCCUCCCGUUUCGACAAAUUCUGAGUGAUGGAGGAGGCACUUCCUGUUGCCUGGUGUAGUAGGUGGGCACUUGCACUCAUACUGUGUUAUUUGCAAAAAUAUAAUCUAUUUUCAGGGUCUUAACAGAAGGAUGAGUUUAUUUUCUCACUCAAGGCUAUUAUUUUUGCCACACUUAAUAAUUGCACAUUAAUUAUUUAACUUUUUACUCCACCCUGAAGUGGAGUAAUACUGCUACACUACGGCCUGGAGCCUCAGGAGAGAAGAGCAGGAGAUAUCUGUCAUCAAGCUCACUGGGGUGAGUCACAGCAGAGCUGUGAGGGGAGAGCAGGCAUGGGCCAAGGGUGUCAUUCACUUCCCAGCACAGAUGCUGGGGGUCCAGCUCCACUCCCCUGCCAGGGAGCUUUUGUGCUUCUCAUCUGGAAGUAGCCUGAGAAUUCAGACACAAGGCAGGGUUUCUUUCCUGGUGCCAGGGCAGAGCACAGCACUGCCAUGAGCAGGGGUGGCCAGGCUGCUUCUGGCAGUACAAGCCUGGGCAUGGUGCCUCUGUCAUAGGCACUGCCAUCACCAGUCACUACACACAUUCAUUUCCCCAAGCUGUUAGUCCUCUGCUGCUCUGUGGUGACUCGAAAUACUCCGGAUUUUGCAACGUUUUGGGGCUGCUGCACACAAAACCCAAGUUCCUCCAGAGCUGCCUGCCCACGUUUGUGACAGCCAUAGUGUGUUUGYAGAUGGAGUUCCUGUCACCUACACAGCACGGCGCAGGGCACUGGACACCCAYAGGUGGCAUUAGGGUGGUCACUGCCCACAGGGAGCAGAGCAUUGCCUCAGCUCACAGUGCUGUUUUCCUUUGAGAAACAGCACGUGGCUUUGCGUAAAAAUGAUAGAUUUGUGGGUUUGUGAUGUGCAAAAAGACUCUCCUCCUCUGUCACAGCUAAUAAUGAYUUGCACACGAGCCACAUAUAAAUCGUGCUGCGUUGUUCUACCAAGUGCUUUCACCGCAAAUCAAAUUCUCUGCACCCCCAUGCUCAUGCUUGCUCCUGAACGUGUGCAGAACUGGGUUUUGCUGCAGUGCACGGCUACUCAGCCACACWCCUCAGGGCCAAUGCAAAGCCAGCAGCUUAAAAGAGAAAGGAGAGAUGACAACUUCUCCCAAGAGAAAGCCAUGGUGCUGAGUGGAAGCUAUCCGSGCUUUGGCUUCAUUAACGCCAUAUGUCUGAUUUCAGAGGAGCAUGGGCAGGAAGGGRAGCUGCUGCAAGCAGGGAUGUUCUUGAGCAGUGCAUCACAGAGGCUUUCACCCAGCUGCACCAAGUGCUAUGGCCCUCAUACUCACUUAUCCAUGGUUUAGCUCAAUGCCCCUUCAAUUUGCUUGCCUGUUUAACGAUGA